UGUUUCCUACGGGACGCAGCAGGCGGGAAUAUUGCGCAAUGGAGGAAACUCUGACGCAGUGACGCCGCGUAUAGGAAGAAGUUUUUCGGAAUGUAAACUAUUGUCGUUAGGGAAGAGAAAGGACAGUACCUAAGGAGGAAGCUCCGGCUAGCUACGUGCCAGCAGCCGCGGUAAUACGUAGGGAGCGAGCGUUAUCCGGAUUUAUUGGGUGUAAAGGGUGCGUAGACGGGAAAACAAGUUAGUUGUGAAAUCCCUCGGCUUAACUGAGGAACUGCAACUAAAACUAUUUUUCUUGAGUGCAGGAG
rnacentral:rRNA from 1 species